rnacentral:rRNA from 1 species
UACGUAGGGUGCGAGCGUUGUCCGGAAUUAUUGGGCGUAAAGAGCUUGUAGGCGGUUUGUCGCGUCUGCUGUGAAAAUCCGGGGCUCAACCCCGGACUUGCAGUGGGUACGGGCAGACUAGAGUGUGGUAGGGGAGACUGGAAUUCCUGGUGUAGCGGUGAAAUGCGCAGAUAUCAGGAGGAACACCGAUGGCGAAGGCAGGUCUCUGGGCCACUACUGACGCUGAGAAGCGAAAGCAUGGGGAGCGAACAGGAUUAGAUACCCGGGUA